AGGAGAAGGAGAAGGAGAAAGAAGGAGAGGAGAAGGAGGGAGGGGAUGUUGUGGACCUCAGCGAGGCCGAGCCCGCCCUGCCCCGCUCCAUGCGGGCCUUCCUGGAGAGCGGCGAGCUGUCGGCUGCCUGUAAAGUGUGUGUGAAACAAGCCUGCGUACUUUGCUGAAAGACUGUAUGAAGCCUAGGGCCUGGGAACAGAUGGCAACACUCUGAUCAGAGUGGUGGUGUUCCGCCUCAAGAUAGAUAUACUGGAUAUCGGAAGAGAGCUCCUGACUAUGUAUGGGAAGUCUCUCUACUCCUUCAUUAAGGGAGACUGCUCAGGAGACUACAGGAACGUUCUGCUGAAGCUCUGUGGCAGUGAGGAUUGAAGGAUUCCUGGGUAUGUCCCGCGUUAUGGGAAGGAGGGGAUCAUAAGGAUUUCUCUCAGGUGUUUGUAACUGUUGGGGAAUAACGCUCUGAAGGCAUCACAGACUGCCUGCUUGUCUCUGCAGUGCUCGGGGCUGUUCUGAGCUGCAGGCUCGCUGCAGCCCCGUGGCAUAGCCUUGCAUCUGGUGACGGACUGAAGCUGGAGAAUCCUGGCAGCAGAGGACGCUCCUGUCCCACAGAAGGGCUCACAGCUCCACCCGCAGCUCCACCGACCUCAGUGCUGGUGAGGAGGCUGAGAUGCCUCCAAGUGAUGAAUGCAGUCCACCCAACCUUACACCUCGUGUGGUUCACUGUGCGAGGCGACCAGGAAGAAAGGUGGGCACAGGUCUGGCCGACUGGCACAGUCAGUCUCCAAGCAGUCGGCACGCUGCCGGUUUGGAGGUAGCUCUGUGUUGGUGUUAGAAGCAUGGAAUGGCCUGGGUUGAGAAGGACCUCAAAGAUCGUCCAGUUCCAACCCCCCUGCUAUGUGCAGGGUCACCAACCGACGGACCAGGCUGCCCAGAGCCUUGUCUUGAAGAAGAUUGUUUUUAGGGAGAAAAAAACUUUGGAUCACCUUUCAAAUACAG
rnacentral:lncRNA from 7 species